rnacentral:lncRNA from 1 species
UUCAGGUAGUCCAAGAAAUUGAGUUUAAAAAGUCUCAUCUAGCGUGCCAAAGUUGAAGUUUCUGCAAGAUGAAAAAGUAUUCGAAGGUUUUUGAGAGUGUCCAAGUCAUUUGAAAGUAUUUGAAAGUAUUCUGAUAAGUUUCAAACUUUAAAUGCAUGAAAAAUUAGGUUGGCUAAAAAUGGGACGAUCCAUCUAGGUCAUCCCCUUUCAUUGGGU